AGAGUUUGAUUCUGGCUCAGGACAACGCUGGCGGCGUGCCUAACACAUGCAAGUCGAACGUGAUCUUUUAGUGAAAGUGGCGGACGGGUGAGUAACGCGUGGGUAACCUGGCCUAUGGAAGGGGAUAGCCUCGGGAAACCGGGAUUAAUACCGUAUGGUUGAGAUAUCGCAUGAUAUUUCAAUGAAAGAUUUAUCGCCAUAGGAUGGACCCGCGUCCCAUUAGCUAGUUGGUGAGAUAACAGCUCACCAAGGCGACGAUGGGUAGCCGGCCUGAGAGGGCGGACGGCCACACUGGGACUGAGACACGGCCCAGACUCCUACGGGAGGCAGCAGUGGGGAAUAUUGCGCAAUGGGGGCAACCCUGACGCAGCAACGCCGCGUGAAUGAGGUUCGUCGAGUUCUGUCGAAGGGGAAAAACCCUUAGAGGAAGCCCCGGCAACUACGUGCCAGCAGCCGCGGUAAUACGUAGGGGGCAAGCGUUGUCCGGAUUUACUGGGCGUAAAGGGCGUGUAGGCGGUUUUUUAAGUCAGAUGUGAAAGUUCGGGGCUCAACCCCGGAAUUGCAUUUGAAACUGGAGAACUUGAGUACUGGAGAGGUAAGUGGAAUUCCUAGUGUAGCGGUGAGAUGCGUAGAUAUUAGGAGGAACACCAGUGGCGAAGGCGACUUACUGGACAAUACUGACGCUGAGGCGCGAAAGCGUGGGGAGCGAACAGGAUUAGAUACCCUGGUAGUCCACGCCGUAAACGAUGAGUGCUAGGUGUUGGGGCAACUCAGUGCCGUAGUUAACACAAUAAGCACUCCGCCUGGGGAGUACGAUCGCAAGAUUGAAACUCAAAGGAAUUGACGGGGGCCCGCACAAGCAGCGGAGCAUGUGGUUUAAUUCGAAGCAACGCGAAGAACCUUACCAGGUCACAUUUCCUGAUUGAUCCAGAGAUGGGUAGUUUCGCAGGAGAAGGUGGUGCAUGGUUGUCGUCAGCUCGUGUCGUGAGAUGUUGGGUUAAGUCCCGCAACGAGCGCAACCCUUGCUGCCAGUUGCCAACGGGUAAUGCCGGGCACUCUGGCGGGACUGCCAUCGACAAGAUGGAGGAAGGUGGGGAUGACGUCAAGUCAUCAUGGCCCUUAUGUCCAGGGCGACACACGUGCUACAAUGGUCGGCACAGCGGGAAGCGAGGCAGUGAUGCCGAGCGAUCCCUUAAAGCCGGUCUCAGUUCGGAUUGAAGUCUGCAACUCGACUUCAUGAAGCUGGAAUCGCUAGUAAUCGCAGAUCAGCCAAGCUGCGGUGAAUACGUUCCGCGCCUUGUACACACCCCCGUC
rnacentral:rRNA from 1 species